CAAUAGCGUAUAUUUAAGUUGUUGCAGUUGAAAGGCUCGUAGUCGGAAUUUAGCGCUUUCUCGAUGGUCCGCCUCUGGUGUGCACUGUCGACGAUUGUGCUUUCUGUCGGGGACGUGUUCCUGGGCUUAACUGUCUGGGACCCGGGCUCGGCGUGGUUACUUUGAGUAAAUUAGAGUGUUCAAAGCAGGCGAUCGCCCUGAAUACAUUAGCAUGGAAUAGCAUGAUAGGACUCUGGCCUAUCUUGCUGGUCUGUAGGACCGGAGUAAUGAUUAAGAGGGACAGUCGGGGGCAUUCGUAUUUCGUUGUCAGAGGUGAAAUUCUUGGAUUUACGAAAGGCGAACAUCUGCGAAAGCAUUUGCCAAGGAUGUUUUCAUUGA
rnacentral:rRNA from 1 species